GACGAACGCUGGCGGCGUGCUUAACACAUGCAAGUCGAACGGAAAGGCCUCUUUCGGGGGGUACUCGAGUGGCGAACGGGUGAGUAACACGUGAGUAACCUGCCCUUGACUUUGGGAUAACUUCAGGAAACUGGGGCUAAUACCGGAUAGGAGCUCCUGCUGCAUGGGGGGGGUGGGAAAGUUUCGGCGGUUGGGGAUGGACUCGCGGCUUUUCAGCUUGUUGGUGGGGUAGUGGCUUACCAAGGCUUUGACGGGUAGCCGGCCUGAGAGGGUGACCGGCCACAUUGGGACUGAGAUACGGCCCAGACUCCUACGGGAGGCAGCAGUGGGGAAUAUUGCACAAUGGGUGGAAGCCUGAUGCAGCAACGCCGUGUGCGGGAUGACGGCCUUCGGGUUGUAAACCGCUUUCGCUCAUGACGAAGCUUUGUGUGACGGUAGUGGGUAAAGAAGCACCGGCUAACUACGUG
rnacentral:rRNA from 1 species